ACUAUUUAUUAAACUCCGCCGUUUUAAGAAUGGCAGGGAUUUGCAAGUAAAAAAAAGGCUCACUAGUCUACAGAACAAGAACGCAAAAUCCUUGCCUUUGCUAGUUUUGCGGAACGCGGGGUGUUUUCUUCUUUUGUUAACAACCAGAAGAAACAAUCCAAUUUGAGAGUUCCACGGGACUAUCGAACAAAUAAAAUUGGGAAGAAUUGAUUUUUUUGUUGUACUCUUGCUCUUGUUGACUGCAGCUGAGAGCGAUUUUGGGGACUCCAAGUGAAAGUGUUGUAUAGAAUUUUUGGAAACUAUGCAGGAAAUUCAUCAGCUUGAGAUUUUAUGCAAGCAAUUGUACGAAGCAACUGAUUCAGUAAUUCGUUCGGAAGCUGAAAAGGCCCUUGUUGCAUUUGUUAGUAGCCAAGAUGCCCUACCUAAAUGUCAAAUGCUUUUGGAUCGAGCCGAUUCAAGUUAUGCACAACUUUUAGCUGCAACAACUUUAACCAAAUUGAUACAAGGUCUCAAUUUGGAACAAAGAAUCGAUAUAAGGAGUUACAUUUUGAAUUAUCUUGCCACCCGCCCAAAUUUGCAAAAUUUUGUUGUACAAGCACUUGUCACGUUAUUGGCUAAAAUAACAAAAUACGGCUGGUUUGAUACCUAUAAAAAUGAAUAUAUUUUUCAAAAUAUCCUUGAAGAUGUGAAGAAAUUUCUCCAGCAAGGCUCAUCUGAGCACUGUACAAUUGGAGUACAAAUUCUGUCGCAACUUGUGUGCGAAAUGAAUUCAAUUGUUGAGGCAGAUGUUAAUUUGUCAUUUUCAAAGAAUCGCAAAAUCGCCACAUCUUUCCGUGACCAGCAGUUGUACGAUAUUUUCCUGUUGUCCUGUUCGCUUUUGGUAACAGCAAGAGACAACAGCAAAAGUUUAAAUUUUAUGGAUGAGUCCCAGCAAGCUCUUAUUUCACAUGUUUUGCGAUUGACUAAGAAUUGCUUGAGCUUUGAUUUUAUUGGAAGCUCCACUGAUGAGUCUUCGGAUGAUAUGAACAGUGUUCAAAUUCCUACUUCCUGGAGACCAGCAUUUCUUGACUCCAAUACUUUGAAGUUAUUUUUUGAUCUCUAUCAGAUUCUACCAAAUGGAUUGGCAAGCUAUUCGUUGUCUUGUUUAGUGCAGAUGACUUCAGUUCGUCGAUCUUUAUUUAACAAUCAAGAACGUACAAAAUUUUUAACUCAUCUUCUCGAAGGCGUUAAGAAUAUUCUGACAAAUUUACAUGGUCUUAGUGAUCCAGAUAAUUAUCACGAAUUCUGCAGACUUCUUGCUCGUCUUAAAUCGAACUACCAGCUGGGAGAACUCAUUACAGUAGAAUGUUAUCCAGAAGCUAUUCAGUUGAUAGCAAAGUUCACUGUACAAUCGUUGCAGAUGUGGCAAUUCGCUCCAAAUAGUGUACAUUACCUGUUAACUUUAUGGCAACGAAUGGUCGCCUCUGUACCGUAUGUUAAAUCACCCGAACCCCAUUUGCUUGGUACAUAUACACCCGAAGUAACCAAAGCGUACAUAACUUCCCGAUUGGAAGCUGUACCUGUGAUUGUAAGAGACAACCUAGAAGAUCCCCUCGACGACCUGUGUAUGGUACAACAACAACUCGAGCAAUUGUCGGUCAUUGAACGUUGUGAAUAUGACAAAACCUGCACACUGUUAGUUCAACAUUUUGACCAAAAGGCCCGAGAAUAUCAAGAAUUGUUACAAAGUCAGUCACCUAAUCCAAUGGAUGUUACCAUUCAUGAAUUACAAUUGACUUGGCUUGUGUAUAUCAUUGGCUCGGCUAUUGUAGGAAGAUUGUCUUUUAAUUCGAACGAUGAACAAGAUACUAUGGAUGGGGAACUUGUAAUACGGGUACUGCAACUAAUGGGUCUCACAGAUAAUAGAUUACCACAAGCCGGCUGUGAAAAACUCGAGUUGGCAAUUCUUAGUUUCCUUGAACAAGUCCGUAAGAUGCAUAUAUGUGAACAAGCGCAAAAAGCGCACGUCUACAAAAGACUGUCUGAAGUAUUUGGUUUAAGUGAUGAACAGAUGCUCUUGAGUUUGAUAAAUAGAAAAAUAAUUACAAAUUUAAAAUACUGGGGCCGUUCGGAGCCAAUUAUAACAAAGACCCUAAUGUUGCUGUCAGAGCUAUCUGUGAAUUUUAAUUCUCUCCGUAAAUUGGCCAAGUUGGAGGAGAUUCAAUUUAUGUUAACGCAUCACACGAGCGAACACUUUCCAUUUCUUGGUACAAAUUCAUCAUUAAGCGAAAUGCGCUGUCGAACAAUGUUCUACACAUCGCUCGGAAGGCUGUUGAUGUUCGAUCUUGGCGAGGAUGAAGAGCGUUUCUAUAAUUUCCUGACACCACUUACCAAUCAAUUCGAAUCACUUGGAUCGGUACUCAUGGAUGGGAAUAGUUUUCCAAAUGAAGAAGCGAAAAAGGCAAUAAUUGGAUUGGCACGUGAUCUUCGUGGUCUUGCAUUGCCAUUGAAUGCUAUAGCUCCGUACACAAUGCUCUUCGAAUGGAUUUAUCCAGAUUAUAUUCCAAUACUAAUACGUGCCGUUGAAUUGUGGGCACACGAUCCAGCUGUUACAACACCAGUACUGAAACUUUUCGCUGAACUUGUGCAUUGUCGAACACAACGUUUGCAAGGCAAUGUUUCUAGUCCAAUGGGAAUUUUACUAUUUCGAGAGGCCUCUAAACUCAUUUGCAUAUACGGCAAUAGGAGUCUUCAUUUGGAUGUGCCGCGAGAUCAGCAAUAUCCAAUGAAAUUAAAAGGCAUUUCCAUAUGUUUCCAUAUACUGAAGAAUGCUCUAAGUGGGAAUUACGUGAAUUUCGGAGUGUUUAAAUUAUAUCGUGAUGAUACAUUGGACAAUGUUUUAAGUAUUGCUGCAAAAUUAAUCAUGUCUAUUCAGCAAAAUGAUUUGUUGGAAUAUCCAAAACUUGCUUCGUCGUACUAUAACCUUCUCAACUGCUUGUCGCAAGAUCAUAUUACAUUUUUGGCUUCAUUGGAGCCACGAGCAUUUAUUUAUAUUUUAGAAAGUCUGUCAAAGGGACUAACGGCACUAGAUUCCACCAUUUUUAUAUGCUGCUGUUCAAUAUUGGACUGUGUUGUGUCAUAUAUAUUUAAGCAGCUGCAAAUUAAAGUUUCGACAUUCCCCAACAAAAAACUCCGUAAUAUUACACCGGAGAACUCACAGUUCCUUGAGGUAGUUGAGAUGAAUUCUGAAAUUCUUCAGGGCAUAAUGUCAACGCUGCUAAAUAUGGUUAUGUCAGAAGACUGCAAGAAUCAAUGGUCUAUGUCCCGUCCGCUCUUAGUACUCAUUUUGCUAUAUGAAGACUAUUUUAGAUCACUUAAAGAAAAUAUUAUUCGAUCGCAACCCAUCGAUAAGCAACAGACAAUGGCACAGUGGUUUGAUGGACUGAUGGAUGGCAUUGAACGAAAUGUUGCGAACAAAAAUCGAGAAAGAUUUACUCAAAACUUAUCAUUGUUCCGACGCGAUGUGGUUCACCUACCGAAGGUUUCAAGUUUUAAUCCUGAAAGAAGAAGUGGGUUUCAAAUUGUCAAAUUUUAAUCCAAAUCCAAAUAAUGUAGUGGUUUGGCCCCUGUGUCUUAGAUAUUAUCAACAAGCUUUUUUGGAGAAACUUAAAACGAUACGUAUCAGGUCUAUAGCGAGACAAAUUAUUCUGUAUCUGUGUAGAUGCUCCCAACAAUAUUAAAAACUUAAUUUUCAAUGGACGCCCAAACGAAAUAGAGAUGUGAAAAAAGAGAGUAAAUUUUGUGUUGUUUGCAAUCUACAUCGUUAUUAUAUAAAUUAAUUAAUUAAUUAAUGAGAACUCUUUCCCAACAACAACAAAAAAUAUUUCUUUCUUUCAUAGUUAAAAUUUAAAUGCUUAUUCUACAUUGUUUCUAUAACUAUUAUAUUUAAUUCAUAAUUCAAAUGUACUUUCAAUUUUUUGUUCUAAUUUUAUUUUUCCAAAAGGAAAAGGUUUUUUUUUGGUUAUUUUUCUUCUCAUUUUUUUUUUUUAAUUUUUCCCUCUGUAUGUCUUUUUGACAUUGAUUAUUGUCCUGCAUGUAGCGUGUAUGAGAGCGAAAAAAAAGGAACUUUAUAUUUUUUAAUUGGGUAUUUUUUUUCAUUAGUUUCAUAUAAUGUGCAUAAACGAAGAAAAAAAAAUUAUUUAAGUAAAAAAAAAUCAAACAAGCUGGAAGAAAGUUAUAUAUUAUUGCAAAUGAAAAAAUAAUAAUAAUAAUACAAAUACAAAAUAAUAAUAAAAAUAAUAUAAAUCAGUAUG